GCACGUAGAGUGACAUUGCAAUUUAAAAGGGCAACACAAGCUGCAGGGAGGAGGUUGAAAAGCUGCCAACUUCUCUACUUCUCUGUAACUCUGAAACAAAUGGGGAUUGUAUUUCAAUAGAAUUUGUCAUAUUGCAAAUGUAAUGUGCCAUAAAAUACAACAACAUCAUGCAGCAAAAUUACUGAACCACAUCAUAUUAAUGAGUGAAC